UACGAAGGGGGCUAGCGUUGCUCGGAAUCACUGGGCGUAAAGCGCACGUAGGCGGAUUGUUAAGUCAGGGGUGAAAUCCUGGAGCUCAACUCCAGAACUGCCUUUGAUACUGGCGAUCUUGAGUCCGGGAGAGGUGAGUGGAACUGCGAGUGUAGAGGUGAAAUUCGUAGAUAUUCGCAAGAACACCAGUGGCGAAGGCGGCGACCUGGGCCAAUAUUGACGCUGAGGUGCGAAAGCGUGGGGAGCAAACAGGG
rnacentral:rRNA from 1 species